UACGUAGGGGGCGAGCGUUGCCCGGAUUCAUUGGGCGUAAAGAGCUCGUAGGCGGCUUGGCAAGUCGGAUGUGAAAACUCCAGGCUCAACCUGGAGCCGCCAUUCGAUACUGCUAUGGCUAGAGUCCGGUAGGGGAGUGUGGAAUUCCCGGUGUAGCGGUGAAAUGCGCAGAUAUCGGGAGGAACACCGAUGGCGAAGGCAGCACUCUGGGCCGGUACUGACGCUGAGGAGCGAAAGCGUGGGGAGCGAACAGG
rnacentral:rRNA from 1 species